AGAGUUUGAUCCUGGCUCAGGAUGAACGCUAGCGGCAGGCCUAAUACAUGCAAGUCGAGGGGCAGCACGGGUAGCAAUACCUGGUGGCGACCGGCGCACGGGUGAGUAACGCGUAUGUAACCUACCUGUAACCGGGGUAUAGCCCAGAGAAAUCUGGAGUAAUCCCCCAUAAUAUAACAGGAGGGCAUCCUUCUGUUAUCAAAGCUCCGGCGGUUACAGAUGGGCAUGCGUGGCAUUAGCUAGUUGGUGAGGUAACGGCUCACCAAGGCGACGAUGCCUAGGGGGUCUGAGAGGAUGAUCCCCCACACUGGUACUGAGACACGGACCAGACUCCUACGGGAGGCAGCAGUAGGGAAUAUUGGGCAAUGGGCGAAAGCCUGACCCAGCCAUGCCGCGUGCAGGAAGAAGGCCCUAUGGGUUGUAAACUGCUUUUGCAGGGGAAAAAACCCUCGGACGUGUCCGAGGCUGAUGGUACCCUGCGAAUAAGCAUCGGCUAACUCCGUGCCAGCAGCCGCGGUAAUACGGAGGAUGCAAGCGUUAUCCGGAAUCACUGGGUUUAAAGGGUGCGCAGGCGGUUCUCUAAGUCAGUGGUGAAAGCCUACGGCUCAACCGUAGAAUUGCCAUUGAUACUGGAGAGCUAGAGUUGGGUUGAUGUGGCUGGAAUGUGUCAUGUAGCGGUGAAAUGCGUAGAUAUGACACAGAACACCGAUAGCGAAGGCAGGUCACAAAACCCAUACUGACGC
rnacentral:rRNA from 1 species